GAAAGAUGCCACUGAACUAUGUCAACUUUGUAUUUCCAGAAAAUCUGGGGGUUGCCAGAAUUGCUACUACAUUGGUGGGCAUUAAAAGAUCUGGGGUCCCACAGAAAUUGCUCCAGCACAUUCAGCAGCAGCUGAAUAUGUGGCAGCCAGUCUGCAGCAACACAAAGAUAUUACCCUGUUUGGAAGGAAUGGGAGCCCACUAAAUGAAAGGGAGCUCUGCCUGUAUUUGAUUUGGAAAGAGUCAAUCACCUUUGUCUUCAUGGAGUGUUAUUUGAUUAAGAUGAUGCAGAAGUUGUCACAGAUAGUUGUCUGGGUGGGGUUGAAGGGUAAAUGUAUUUGAGGCCUAUGGACAGGCAAUAAAAUGAGCUUUCCCUGCAGAGUCUUUAUGCAGUUGGGGCCCAUUCCUUCUCUACCAGCAAAGAGGUGACAGUGAUUACAUAAGGUCAAGGAAGCUUCGCAGCCAAGGUUUGUGUGUUUUUCCUGGCAAGUGUAAAUGAUCAUGAGA